rnacentral:tRNA from 1 species
GCGCAUAUAGCUCAGUUGGAUAGAGCGGUCGCCUCCUAAGCGACAGGCCGGGGGUUCAAAUCCCUUUAUGCGCGCCA